UAAUCUUUAGUUUAUUCAAAAUUUAAUAAUUACAAUAUUAAGAAAUAUUUAUUUUAUAAGAUUUU
rnacentral:tRNA from 1 species